UGGGGAAUAUUGCACAAUGGGCGAAAGCCUGAUGCAGCGACGCCGCGUGAGGGAUGGAGGCCUUCGGGUUGUAAACCUCUUUCAGUAAGGGUGAAGGCUCUCUUUUGUGGAGGGUUGACAGUACUUGCAGAAGAAGCGCCGGCUAACUACGUGCCAGCAGCCGCGGUAAUACGUAGGGCGCGAGCGUUGUCCGGAAUUAUUGGGCGUAAAGGGCUUGUAGGUGGCGUGUCGCGUCUGCUGUGAAAUUCCAGGGCUUAACUUUGGGAUUGCAGUGGGUACGGGCAUGCUAGAGUGCAGUAGGGGAGAUUGGAAUUCCUGAUGUAGCGGUGAAAUGCGCAGAUAUCAGGAGGAACACCGGUGGCGAAGGCGGGUCUCUGGGCUGUUACUGACGCUGAGGAGCGAAAGCGUGGGGAGCGAACAGG
rnacentral:rRNA from 1 species